AUGCAAGUCGAGCGGGCAUCCUUGUGGUGUCAGCGGCAGACGGGUGAGUAACGCGUGGGAACGUGCCCUUCGGUUCGGAAUAACUCAGGGAAACUUGAGCUAAUACCGGAUACGCCCUUAUGGGGAAAGGCUUGACUGCCGAAGGAUCGGCCCGCGUCUGAUUAGCUAGUUGGUGAGGUUAUGGCUCACCAAGGCGACGAUCAGUAGCUGGUCUGAGAGGAUGAUCAGCCACACUGGGACUGAGACACGGCCCAGACUCC
rnacentral:rRNA from 1 species